UAGGCAAUAAUAUUAAAUUACAUUUCACAAAACUAAGCAAAUGUAAGAAAAUAAUCUUCAUUCAUUAGAAUUCAUAGUUAUAAUGAGGGCCGAAGACAUUUCUAUUGAAAGUACAAAUCUAAAUAGAUUGAGAGAAGGAUGAGGAACACCAAUGAACAUGGUGAUGACAUUAGGGCCUCUUGCUUUAGAAUUCACAUUGUCCCUUCAAUCUCUAUUGUAUGGUUGCCAUCAGCUGGACUCUCAGACUUUCCCAAUUCUCACUCCUUCAAGAAUUUUGACCUCAGUUUGGUAGUGUUGAAAGUUAAAUGCACCUCAAUCCAUUCCACCUUCUCGAUGUAAGCAAACCUCCUCUAAUAUUUAGUAAAGCUCCGAUACUCCUCAAUUAAAUGAAACUUGGCUAUUAUGCGUCAUAACAUCUUUGCCAGUAGAUUAGGCUUUCCCAUUAACACUCUCCAUUUCUUCAGUGAGGCCAGCAACUCUGGAUUCGCUGCUAAAACAGAGUAUUUUCUUUAUUUGACCUCUCCAAAGCCUCGACAGCCAAUUUUUGGUGUGCUUUAGAAGUCUUCAUUCACUCGGUCAAAGAAACUACUUCGCUCUAGGACAAAUGGACUUCAUUCUUUAAAUUUUCAAUUUUUGCUAAAGUAGAGGUGAGCUUCACGAACUCCUCAGGUUGCCGCCUCUUCACGGCUUUGGCAUCCGUCUUAGUUUUCUGGCCACUUAUCUGGCCUGGGAAGUAUUAUUGGAAAAUUCCUGAAUUUUCUUCUGAAGGUUUUUACGGAGGACUCCAGUCUCUUUGGCAACUGUCCAUCCGAUAAUUGUGAAAUAUGGUGGUAGCCAUUUAGACCUGUGGAGGCAGCAUGGACAAAGCCUCCAGAGCCAUUUCACCGCUCAUCUUCAACAAGGAGAGCUUCGUCCUUCAAGGUACUAUGUCAAAAAAGAUUGAGGUAUUGCUCAACACCCUCCUCUUUUUUGUAGACUCUUGCCUUGGAGGCACUACCAACAAUGGCCUCUUCUAUCCCCUAUUGCAGCAUUGUAGGUUGCCAUCAAUUUCUUCCCUAUAGAGACUUUAGAUCGAGGGGAGAUUGACUGUAGACCUCAUCUUUCCUCGAUAUAGGCGAGUGUGAACUUUUCUUGGAAACCUCUUCCACUAUUAUUUCCUUUAUCCUUUGGAAGUUAUCGUCCAUCACUAUUACGGUUGACGGUUUCCUUGCUGACCUUCUUCAUUUUAUCAUUCACAUGCUUUGCAGUUGUAGAUGAGAGCUUGAAAUGCUUCUUCCCAGCCGUUGAGGCGGCUACCAAGAUAGAAGCCAUGUCCCAGGUCGAGCACUUCCUCUUUCAAAAUUUUCUACAAGCACAAAGGAAAGCAUGAUCAACAUUAAUAUUAACCUACAAGUAGUAAGGAAAAUUUCUAAGUAUUACCACUUCGAGCUAUAAAGUCUGAAUUUUUCAAAAAAUCGACGAGCAAUGAUCAAUCGUUCAAACUCCCGAGAGGAUAAAGGAUAAUGGUAGAUGUCUUCUACAAUAACCAAUUCUGCCUGGGUCAGCUCAAAGCGAUUGACAAAUCCAAAAACAUUUUAAAAGUUAGAAUCAAUUCUAUUAUAAAACAAAGAUAACUAAAGAUAGGACAAUCACGAGAUUCAGAAUAGGUAGUUGGAACUAUCACGUGAAGAUACCUUGUCAUCCUCAUAAACCUACCACAUUGUUCUCUCCAAGAACCAUGCUCCUUCCAUCUUUUGAUGGGGGGGGAAGGCUGACAAUGAACAAAGAGUAUGCCCUCUACAGACUCGAAGAGUACCAGCCUUUGGAAUCUCCUUCUUGAAGACCCUAGUUCGGAAAAUGGUUUAGAAGAAGUGGAGGGACUUGUUCUCACCAAGAGAGUUCUCAUUCCACAGAAAGUAGGUCCACACUAACCGAGCCCAAUCAUUGGGGACAAGCUGGGUAGGUGCCAGCCCAUACGAUCUAAGGAUAGCUCUAAAGAAAGGAUGAAGGGGUAUACUCAGCCCCCUUCAAAAGGAACUCACUUACAGUUACGCCUAUUUGCCUAGGAAAACAAGUUCGUUCAUCGGGAGAUGGUACUAACAACUCAAAUGUAUAGGGCAUGCAGUACUUCUUCCUAAAAUCUACGAAGUCAACAGCAGUUACAUUUGAAGGAAUCUUGGCUUCCUUUCAAGUUUCAUAAUCUAUAUGACCUCUCUUAUGGGUAAGAUACUCUAAACAGCCUAAUAGCAUGGACAAGGUUGGCAAUUAUAGUUAUCUUAACCUCCAUCUCUGAAGCUGCUGUCCUAAUGUCAGUUCUCCCAGAAGACGAAGAAGACAUAUUUAAAAUGAAAGUGGGGAUCUAUCGAAAGAGAUACUUACAGAAUUAAAACAUAUCAAAAGUCACCAAAUUUCUUAAAAGUGGCCAGAUAACUUCGAUGACUAAAAGCAAAACGCGGAAGGUUUGAGAGCUUUUCUAAGUUUUGAAAGUUUGAAUUCUUU
rnacentral:lncRNA from 1 species